GAUCAAACUACCCUAUGGAUUCGAAUAACCUCGGGAAACUGAGGCUAAUUCGGAAUAAGGCUCCAUCGCUGGAAUGCGUGGAGCUGGAAACGCUCCGGUGCCAUAGGAUGUGAUUGCGGCCGAUUAGGUAGACGGUGGGGUAACGGCCCACCGUGCCGAUAAUCGGUACGGGUUGUGAGAGCAAGAGCCCGGAGAUGGAUUCUGAGACAAGAAUCCAGGCCCUACGGGGCGCAGCAGGCGCGAAAACUUUACACUGCACGACAGUGCGAUAAGGGAACUCCAAGUGCGAGGGCAUAACGUCCUCGCUUUUGUGUAUCGUAAGGUGGUACACGAAUAAGAGCUGGGCAAGACCGGUGCCAGCCGCCGCGGUAAUACCGGCAGCUCAAGUGAUGACCAAUUUUAUUGGGCCUAAAGCGUCCGUAGCCGGCCAGACAGGUCCGUCGGGAAAUCUGCUCGCUCAACGAGCAGGCGUCCGGCGGAAACCCGCUGGCUUGGGGCCGGAAGAUCCAAGGGGUACGUCUGGGGUAGGAGUGAAAUCCUGUAACCCUAGACGGACCACCGAUCGCGAAAGCACCUUGGAAGGACGGACCCGACGGUGAGGGACGAAAGCUAGGGUCACGAACCGGAUUAGAUACCCGGGUAGUCCUAGCUGUAAACGAUGCUCGCUAGGUGUGGCACAGGCUACGAGCCUGUGCUGUGCCACAGUGAAGACGUAAGCGAGCCGCCUGGGAAGUACGUCCGCAAGGAUGAAACUUAA
rnacentral:rRNA from 1 species